rnacentral:rRNA from 1 species
ACUGGAAACGGUGGCUAAUACCGCAUAACGUCGCAAGACCAAAGAGGGGGACCUUCGGGCCUCUUGCCAUCAGAUGUGCCCAGAUGGGAUUAGCUUGUUGGUGAGGUAACGGCUCACCAAGGCGACGAUCCCUAGCUGGUCUGAGAGGAUGACCAGCCACACUGGAACUGAGACACGGUCCAGACUCCUACGGGAGGCAGCAGUGGGGAAUAUUGCACAAUGGGCGCAAGCCUGAUGCAGCCAUGCCGCGUGUAUGAAGAAGGCCUUCGGGUUGUAAAGUACUUUCAGCGGGGAGGAAGGUGUUGUGGUUAAUAACCGCAGCAAUUGACGUUACCCGCAGAAGAAGCACCGGCUAACUCCGUGCCAGCAGCCGCGGUAAUACGGAGGGUGCAAGCGUUAAUCGGAAUUACUGGGCGUAAAGCGCACGCAGGCGGUCUGUCAAGUCGGAUGUGAAAUCCCCGGGCUCAACCUGGGAACUGCAUUCGAAACUGGCAGGCUUGAGUCUUGUAGAGGGGGGUAGAAUUCCAGGUGUAGCGGUGAAAUGCGUAGAGAUCUGGAGGAAUACCGGUGGCGAAGGCGGCCCCCUGGACAAAGACUGACGCUCAGGUGCGAAAGCGUGGGGAGCAAACAGGAUUAGAUACCCUGGUAGUCCACGCCGUAAACGAUGUCUACUUGGAGGUUGUGCCCUUGAGGCGUGGCUUCCGGAGCUAACGCGUUAAGUAGACCGCCUGGGGAGUACGGCCGCAAGGUUAAAACUCAAAUGAAUUGACGGGGGCCCGCACAAGCGGUGGAGCAUGUGGUUUAAUUCGAUGCAACGCGAAGAACCUUACCUGGUCUUGACAUCCACAGAACUUUCCAGAGAUGGAUUGGUGCCUUCGGGAACUGUGAGACAGGUGCUGCAUGGCUGUCGUCAGCUCGUGUUGUGAAAUGUUGGGUUAAGUCCCGCAACGAGCGCAACCCUUAUCCUUUGUUGCCAGCGGUCCGGCCGGGAACUCAAAGGAGACUGCCAGUGAUAAACUGGAGGAAGGUGGGGAUGACGUCAAGUCAUCAUGGCCCUUACGACCAGGGCUACACACGUGCUACAAUGGCGCAUACAAAGAGAAGCGACCUCGCGAGAGCAAGCGGACCUCAUAAAGUGCGUCGUAGUCCGGAUUGGAGUCUGCAACUCGACUCCAUGAAGUCGGAAUCGCUAGUAAUCGUGGAUCAGAAUGCCACGGUGAAUACGUUCCCGGGCCUUGUACACACCGCCCGUCACACCAUGGGAGUGGGUUGCAAAAGAAGUAGGUAGCUUAACCUUCGGGAGGGCGCUUACCACUUUGUGAUUCAUGACUGGGGUGAAGUCGUAACAAGGUAACCGUAGGGGAACCUGCGGUUGGAUCACCUCCUUACCUUAAAGAA